rnacentral:tRNA from 1 species
AGUUUUGUAUUCAAUGAUGAUUCUAAAUUGCAAAUUUAGAGGUAAAGAAAUUCUUUCAAAACUU